rnacentral:rRNA from 2 species
GGGGAAUAUUGCACAAUGGGGGAAACCCUGAUGCAGCGACGCCGCGUGGAGGAAGAAGGUCUUCGGAUUGUAAACUCCUGUUGUUGAGGAAGAUAAUGACGGUACUCAACAAGGAAGUGACGGCUAACUACGUGCCAGCAGCCGCGGUAAAACGUAGGUCACAAGCGUUGUCCGGAAUUACUGGGUGUAAAGGGAGCGCAGGCGGGAGAACAAGUUGGAAGUGAAAUCCAUGGGCUCAACCCAUGAACUGCUUUCAAAACUGUUUUUCUUGAGUAGUGCAGAGGUAGGCGGAAUUCCCGGUGUAGCGGUGGAAUGCGUAGAUAUCGGGAGGAACACCAGUGGCGAAGGCGGCCUACUGGGCACCAACUGACGCUGAGGCUCGAAAGUGUGGGUAGCAAACAGGAUUAGAUACCCUGGUAGUCCACACCGUAAACGAUGAUUACUAGGUGUUGGAGGAUUGACCCCUUCAGUGCCGCAGUUAACACAAUAAGUAAUCCACCUGGGGAGUACGACCGCAAGGUUGAAACUCAAAGGAAUUGACGGGGGCCCGCACAAGCAGUGGAGUAUGUGGUUUAAUUCGACGCAACGCGAAGAACCUUACCAAGUCUUGACAUCCUGCGACGCACAUAGAAAUAUGUGUUUCCUUCGGGACGCAGAGACAGGUGGUGCAUGGUUGUCGUCAGCUCGUGUCGUGAGAUGUUGGGUUAAGUCCCGCAACGAGCGCAACCCUUAUGGUCAGUUACUACGCAAGAGGACUCUGGCCAGACUGCCGUUGACAAAACGGAGGAAGGUGGGGAUGACGUCAAAUCAUCAUGCCCUUUAUGACUUGGGCUACACACGUACUACAAUGGCGUUAAACAAAGAGAAGCAAGACCGCGAGGUGGAGCAAAACUCAGAAACAACGUCCCAGUUCGGACUGCAGGCUGCAACUCGCCUGCACGAAGUCGGAAUUGCUAGUAAUCGUGGAUCAGCAUGCCACGGUGAAUACGUUCCCG